AGUAAUGCCUAGGAAUCUGCCUGGUAGUGGGGGAUAACGUUCCGAAAGGAACGCUAAUACCGCAUACGUCCUACGGGAGAAAGCAGGGGACCUUCGGGCCUUGCGCUAUCAGAUGAGCCUAGGUCGGAUUAGCUAGUUGGUGAGGUAAUGGCUCACCAAGGCGACGAUCCGUAACUGGUCUGAGAGGAUGAUCAGUCACACUGGAACUGAGACACGGUCCAGACUCCUACGGGAGGCAGCAGUGGGGAAUAUUGGACAAUGGGCGAAAGCCUGAUCCAGCCAUGCCGCGUGUGUGAAGAAGGUCUUCGGAUUGUAAAGCACUUUAAGUUGGGAGGAAGGGCAGUAAGUUAAUACCUUGCUGUUUUGACGUUACCGACAGAAUAAGCACCGGCUAACUUCGUGCCAGCAGCCGCGGUAAUACGAAGGGUGCAAGCGUUAAUCGGAAUUACUGGGCGUAAAGCGCGCGUAGGUGGUUCGUU
rnacentral:rRNA from 1 species